AUGUCUGUAGAGAAAAUUACAGCAACUUCACCCACAGCUACCAUGACUCUGAUCCCCGUCUUCAUCUGGACACUGAUCCUCUGGACUCAAGAAUGCAGAGGUCAAGUCACAGUAACUCAGACUCCUGCAGUGAAAUCUGCUCUUCCAGGAGAAACAGUCACCAUCAACUGUAGAACCAGUCAGGCCGUGUACAAGGGCUCAUAUGGCCACUACUUACACUGGUAUCAGCAGAAACCUGGAGAAGCUCCUAAACUCCUGAUUAAACUUGCAAAUCAGCGAGAGUCAGGUUUUCCAGCUCGUUUCAGUGGCAGUGGAUCUGGAUCUGAUUUCACUCUGACCAUCAGUGGAGUCCAGACUGAAGAUGCAGGAGAUUAUUACUGUCAGAGUUACCAUUACAUCAGUAGCAAAGACCUGUUCACACAGUGUUAUAGAGUCGUACAAAAACCUCCCUCAGUCAGAUUGUAGAGAGACUGCACUGCUGCAGCUGGGAGAGACUGCAGGUGCUGAGUUGGAGGAUGUGAUACGACACAAUGACCCGCUGUGGAGGAGAGGAACCACACCACACUAACUCACAACUCACAUUAGAAAUCUCUCAAUCAUCAUCACACCACACUGCACACAGUCCAUCACAUCCACUACUGUAAGAUCAAUACUCUGCACUGAUGGCUGGUUGUGAUAUUGAAUAAGGGCUAAAUCUAAUUUUACUCCUCAUCACUAUCUUGCUGUUACUAUUAUGAAGCCAUUAGCGAUGAGCCUUAUUACACUCACUGUGACCAGUGAGCCUCAUUAUAUAAGCAUAAAUAAUAGGCAUAUACUCUCAUUAAAAGACACAGAUACGUCAAGGUUAAA